AUGCAUGUCUAAGUAUAAGCAAUUAUACGGCGAAACUGCGAAUGGCUCAUUAUAUAAGUUAUCGUUUAUUUGAUAAUACUUUACUACUUGGAUAACCGUGGUAAUUCUAGAGCUAAUACAUGCUAAAAAUCCCGACUUCGGAAGGGUUGUAUUUAUUAGAUUAAAAACCAAUGCCCUCUGGGCUCUCUGGUGAAUCAUAAUAACUUGUCGAAUCGACAGGCCUUGUGCCGGCGAUGGCUCAUUCAAAUUUCUUCCCUAUCAACUUUCGAUGUUUGGGUAUUGGCCAAACAUGGUGGCAACGGGUAACGGAGGGUUAGGGCUCGACCCCGGAGAAGGAGCCUGAGAAACGGCUACUACAUCCAAGGAAGGCAGCAGGCGCGCAAAUUACCCAAUCCCGACACGGGGAGGUAGUGACAAUAAAUACUGAUACAGGGCUCUUUUGGGUCUUGUAAUCGGAAUGAGUACAAUUUAAAUCCCUUAACGAGGAACAAUUGGAGGGCAAGUCUGGUGCCAGCAGCCGCGGUAAUUCCAGCUCCAAUAGCGUAUAUUAAAGUUGUUGUGGUUAAAAAGCUCGUAGUUGAACCUUGGGCCUGGCUGGCCGGUCCGCCUCACCGCGUGCACUGGUCCGGCCGGGCCUUUCCCUCUGUGGAACCCCAUGCCCUUCACUGGGUGUGGCGGGGAAACAGGACUUUUACUUUGAAAAAAUUAGAGUGCUCCAGGCAGGCCUAUGCUCGAAUACAUUAGCAUGGAAUAAUAAAAUAGGACGUGCGGUUCUAUUUUGUUGGUUUCUAGGACCGCCGUAAUGAUUAAUAGGGACAGUCGGGGGCAUCAGUAUUCAAUUGUCAGAGGUGAAAUUCUUGGAUUUAUUGAAGACUAACUACUGCGAAAGCAUUUGCCAAGGAUGUUUUCAUUAAUCAGGAACGAAAGUUAGGGGAUCGAAGACGAUCAGAUACCGUCGUAGUCUUAACCAUAAACUAUG
rnacentral:rRNA from 2 species